GUGAUACCUGGUGGAAGGUGUCUGCCAUUCCAUGUAUUGACCGGAACUACCUUGUAGGCGAUCUUGUUGAAGGUUCUGAUAUGGAAUUCUGUAGUCAAGAGUGAUCCAAGUGGUGCAAGCAGCCUGGCCAAGGGUGAGCCAAAGAGUGCCAGAGGAAGCUUGGCAUGAUGGAAGGAGGUUUAUGUGGCCAUUCUCUCAAGGAAAAUGCAGUCAGCAGAUUCAAUGAAGCUCAAAAAGCUAUAUAACAUUUCCUCAAAAAAGAGUGUAAUUUACAAAGGAGACAUUCAGUUGCAGCAGCGGAAAGAUAAACAAUACAUAUAAAGAUGGAAAUAAGGCAGAAUUGCCUGAAAUAGGGUACCAUUGCCAGAAGUUAGGCAGCAUUACCAGAAAUAAGGCAGAAUUGCUGGAAAUAAGGCAGAAUUGCUGGAAAUAAGGCAGCAUUACCAGAAAUAAGGCAGAAUUGCUAGAAAUAAGGCAGAAUUGCUGGAAAUAAGGCAGCAUUACCAGAAAUAAAGCAUAAUUGCAGGAAAUAAGACAGCAUUGCUGGAAGUAAAGCAACAUUACCAGAAAUAAGGCAGAAUUGCUGGAAAUAAGGUACCAUGCCGGAAGUCAGGCAGCAUUACCAGAAAUAAGGCAGAAUUGCUAGAAAUAAGGCAGAAUUGCUGGAAAUAAGGCAGCAUUACCAGAAAUAAAGCAUAAUUGCAGGAAAUAAGACAGUAUUGCUGGAAGUAAAGCAACAUUACCAGAAAUAAGGCAGAAUUGCUGGAAAUAAGGUACCAUGCCGGAAGUCAGGCAGCAUUACCAGAAAUAAGGCAGAAUUGCUGGAAAUAAGGCAGAAUUGCUGGAAAUAAGGUACCAUGCCGGAAGUCAGGCAGCAUUACCAGAAAUAAGGCAGAAUUGCUAGAAAUAAGGCAGAAUUGCUGGAAAUAAGGCAGCAUUACCAGAAAUAAAGCAUAAUUGCAGGAAAUAAGACAGCAUUGCUGGAAGUAAAGCAACAUUACCAGAAAUAAGGCAGAAUUGCUGGAAAUAAGGUACCAUGCCGGAAGUCAGGCAGCAUUACCAGAAAUAAGGCAGAAUUGCUGGAAAUAAGGCAGAAUUGCCAAAAAUAAGGCAGUAUUGCCAGAGAAAUUAAAUGCAAUGGGAGAAUUGCAUGGACUUACUUUAAAAAUGUGUAAUAUGUGUUUAAAUAUUUUAUGCAAGAUUUUGAUGUUUACUUGUUUUCAUAGUUUUUCUCAUUGGGAAAGGUGGGCAAAGUGUAAUGACCAGUGGGUUUGAGAGUUGGGAAAUUUGGCAUUUUGCAAUAUAUUUGGCUUCAUUAAAACAAACUGUGAAUACACCACGUCCUGUGAUUUCUGCUUUCUACACUGUAAAAUGGUUUCAUGAUUUAGGCGGUCUUAAAUCACCAACAGAUUCAAAAUUAGUAUUAGAUAUAUUAGAAGCAGCUAAAAGGUUGUUAUGUAAACCUACCAUAAAAAAAGGAACCUGUAGCAAUAGAGAUGUAUAAUCAGUCAUAUUCUACUGGAAAUUUGAAAAAAAAAAAAAGAAUUAUUUGUGCAUGCUUGAUGGC